AAGAAUUACGAAUCUCAUUGUAAUUUGGACUUCAAACUACGGCUCUUCCAUAAGCUUUGUAAAGUUCCAGGAGUAAGAAAACCUAAAAUUGCAAUUCGGCCUUCAACAAACAAAAUUCUUCGUAGAUACGGUUUUGAUUUCUCUCUUUAUUUCUAUUUCUGUUUAUAGAGCUUUCAGCUCUGAAGAACAGGGGCAAAAUUCAGCUGCAAGAAAAAGCCGGUCAACUUUAAGGAGUGAUGAUAUGCGAGGAAUGAUACAUGAUGUCUUUGGAGACAUUACACAUUCAUGAAUACUGAAGUUAUUGAAAGGGGUGAGAUGCAUCCAAACCUACAAGAAAAUAUUGCUCAUCCAUUUGGAAAGCAACCUCAUCCAGAGGUGGAUAAGUUUGAACGGCUCAUGAAGGAGGCAAAUGAAGAACUAUAUCCUAACAAGAACUAUAAAGGAGGCAGAUGAUGAUAGAGAUAUGCGACCAUAUAUUGAGCAAUUAAUAGAUGGUCAAAACUAUUAUACAACCCAAUCACAUAUUAAUCAGUUGAUGGAUAACAAGAACUAUUCUAAAGCGGAAGAACAUGACGGCCAAUCUAAUGAGUUGAAUACUUCUGCCGGUGGCACUGAAAAUUGACAUAAUCAUGAAUCAGGAAAUUUUCUACAAGACUUGUACUGAUAUAGAAGAUUCAUGUAACUCAUCUCUGCUAGCUAACAGGUUUUACGUCCCGUGGUCAUACAAUAUGAUGUUUGAUAAUUUAGCAGGUGGAAGAUUUCAAGUUGUAGAAAUUAUUUGAAAACUAUCAUUCAUCAGGAUUAGUCACAUAAUAGCAUUAACUAUUUUGUUAAAACAAUAUAAGCUUAUAUUAUAAGUUAAUGUGAUAUUGAUAUUUUUGAUUAGUACUUCCUUUUGUUUGUUAAGAUUUAGUGAGAUAUAUUAUGUUUUUUUGGGAUUAA